rnacentral:rRNA from 1 species
GACGAACGCUGGCGGCGUGCCUAACACAUGCAAGUCGAACGGGGCAGAGAGCUUCGGUUUUCUGCUUAGUAGCGAACGGGUGAGUAACGCGUGAGGAACCUGCCUUUCAGUGGGGGACAACAGUUGGAAACGACUGCUAAUACCGCAUAACAUGUACGGAUCGCAUGGUCUGUACAUCAAAGCUUUAUGUGCAGAAAGAUGGCCUCGCGUCUGAUUAGCUAGUUGGUGGGGUAAUGGCCCACCAAGGCGACGAUCAGUAGCCGGACUGAGAGGUUGACCGGCCACAUUGGGACUGAGAUACGGCCCAGACUCCUACGGGAGGCAGCAGUGGGGAAUAUUGGGCAAUGGGCGAAAGCCUGACCCAGCAACGCCGCGUGAAGGAAGAAGGCCUUCGGGUUGUAAACUUCUUUUACCAGGGACGAACACAAUGACGGUACCUGGAGAAAAAGCAACGGCUAACUACGUGCCAGCAGCCGCAGUAAUAC